AAACAUUCAGAACUAAUGUUUCUUAAGUUUUUAUGUUUCCCUUGUAAAGAGAAACAUUGAGUCCUUUUUGAGAGCUCUGCUUAUAGAAUUUAGCAAAUAAGUUUUAAAAUAUUUUAAGAUUUAUGAUGCUGUAAUAAGAUACUUUUUCUUAGUGGAAUGUCUUCAAGGGCAGGUAUUGUACUUCCUCAAAUUAUCACAGUCUUUUCAGUGCUGUAUGAAAUUUCUGCUUUUCCUCAUCUUUAUUCUUUCCCCUUUUGUUAUUCUCACUACAGUUUAGUAUAUAUCUUUUUAAUCCAGAUAAUUUUGUAGCAUAUAAUAUUAGCUAUCUCUACAUCACUAAGAAUGUAGAAGUAGUUGAAGUUUGUCUCUUGAACCAGCUGUGGCACUGCAGGAUUAGUGAUGGGGGAAGAAAUGCACUCAAGCACAGAAGAAAGCUGGGAGAAAGUUUCACGACGGUUUAGCUACACAUCUGUACAGUGCUCUGGUAGUGGGAUAGAUUGUGCUGUAGUCAAAUACUGAACAAGAAAUCUUUGUCUACAUAUGUGGAAGGUUUAUGCUGGCUUUUAUGUGAGACUACCUGUACGAAUUUAGCCUGUCAAAAAUACUGAAUAUAUUUGAAUUGCAGAAUGAGUUUCGACUGGCUCAGUGCUUUGUAGCAUGUGGCUAUAGCACCUUUGAUUUGGGUGCAGCAAGGCCUGCACCACUGGAGUACAGCGUGAGGUUGUGCCCGCAGCAACACUGGCAGACCCUGUGCUGAGCCCCUUGCUGCACCCUGCUAGUAAGGAGCUGUUCUGUUUCUGAUUUAGCCAGCCCUUAUCUUUCGGAGUGAUGCAAGGAACAAAAAUAUGAUGUGCUGGUACUGCCUGAUGUAGUUAGCUACUGUAUAUAUUGCUCCCAAAUUACUUUUCCUUAUUCAUUACUACCUUGUACGUGUUUUGCAUUCAGUUUACUCUCUGACCUUCCCUAGCUUGGCCUGUACUAUAUUUUUCUCUGUACCAUUUCCUUUAAAGUUCCAAAUCUGCUAUUGUCUUCAUCAACCUUAUCCAGUCAUUCUUCUCUUUUAUUUAACAGCAUUUGAAAUUGUACAACCUGGUUUUUCCCAACUGCUCACUGAGAUGGGGGCACAUGGCUACCUCUGCUGCAUGUUGCCUGGCCAUGGCCUCAGCACGACUCGGCCCCACACCUGCCUCAGUGUUCUCUCCUUUGCGCUAUUCCCAGUCUUAUUUUCUCUCUUUAAUACAUUCCCCCCACCUCUUCUUUUAUCUGUUCAGUGCACAUUGCUCCAUGAGGCAGAUUUCAUCAUCUAGCUCUGCAUUUUAAGCGAUGCAGGAUUUUAAAAUAUGGUGAGUAUCUACAUUGGCACUGCUGUGUGUGGAUAGGGAGAGUUCUGUUAUUGGCAGAAAGAGUGACAUAGCAUCAGGUGCACAGACAGGAGGAGGAAAAAAAAAAGAGCAGACUUGUAUGUUUAGGUAACAGCAAAUUGUCCUUAACACAGUUUUCCUUUAUGUUGAGCCUGCAGCCUGAGAGCAGUAUACACGUGCAUGUCUCUAAAUAAUGAACUGAUCAUUUACAGCUCUCUUCUAAAAAUGAAUAAAUAAAAAUAAUACCAGCCCUAGCUUUUCCGU
ensembl:lncRNA